rnacentral:misc_RNA from 1 species
GCGACUUCAAUUGGCUUCCUUCGUUUGUUGUCACAGAACAAGCUAUAACAGGUCUUGUAACUCCACAGGCUCGGCCGAGUGCUUGCUUGGACGGGACAAACACAUAGGGCACAUUCUUAUCCUCCGCUAACAGAGGAAGAUGGAGGAGGAUUUCAAGUGGCUCAGUAUCCGCGGCCAUGACAACGAACUCAGAUAUGCCUCUGUUAAGCGUCUUGGUUGCUUCAUUGGCGCCCUUCUUGAUUUGCUUGUAGUUAGCAGCUUGUUGAACAAGAUCAAGAAUGGUGAUUGUAAGUUGGGCGUCGGCCAAAGGGUAUGCCUUGGGGUUCACUUUCUCUGCAGUCA